rnacentral:lncRNA from 1 species
GUACUAUAGUAGUUAUAGAUAAGCAUUACUUUUUGGAAUUAUAUUGAGCAGAUAAGACAACUAAUGGUUUGUUUCAAAUAAAUUUAUAAUCAACCCAAUCCCAAUCCGUUCAAAUCACUGAAUGGAAUACAUAAAAUUCGAUCAUCAAAACAUGAGAAAGUAUUUUUUAUGUUUACUUGAUCGAUCAUCCGCUGAUCAAAUAAUAUUUUAUCAGUAACUUAAAUGGAAUAAAUAAUAUUACAAAGGCUGAUAAACAUAACUGGAAUAGAAUCAAAUAAUAUUCGAUCAUCUGCUGAUCAAUGUUACUAACAUCUGCACUUAUUUUCCAGGGACAAAGAUUUUGAAAGGGCUACAUAUAAAAAUUACUUUUAUCAAUAAAUUAGAUUGUAAAAUUUCAAAAAUAAAUAAAUGAAAUUAGAUUGUAUGAGUAGCAUUCUAUUGAUCCUGAGUGUCAAUAAAUUUUAUUGCUGGAAAAACUUAAAAACAUUGAAAGUUUCCAUAGUUAACUGAAAGAAAAAGUGUCAAACACUCACGUUCAUAUUUUCAUUCGAGUCAAGUUCCGAUGUUUUUAUAUACGCAGCCAGCUGUUCAUUCAAUUCUUAAUAAUAAGCCAUUGAGAAAGAAAAAAAGUUUUGUAUAA